rnacentral:rRNA from 1 species
AUUGAACGCUGGCGGCAUGCUUUACACAUGCAAGUCGAACGGCAGCGCGGGCUUCGGCCUGGCGGCGAGUGGCGAACGGGUGAGUAAUGCAUCGGAACGUGCCCAGUAGUGGGGGAUAGCCCGGCGAAAGCCGGAUUAAUACCGCAUACGACCUGAGGGUGAAAGCGGGGGACCGAAAGGCCUCGCGCUAUUGGAGCGGCCGAUGUCGGUUUAGCUAGUUGGUGGGGUAAAGGCUUACCAAGGCGACGAUCCGUAGCUGGUCUGAGAGGACGACCAGCCACACUGGGACUGAGACACGGCCCAGACUCCUACGGGAGGCAGCAGUGGGGAAUUUUGGACAAUGGGGGCAACCCUGAUCCAGCCAUGCCGCGUGCGGGAAGAAGGCCUUCGGGUUGUAAACCGCUUUUGUUCGGGAAGAAAUCCUCUGGGCUAAUACCCCGGGGGGAUGACGGUACCGGAAGAAUAAGCACCGGCUAACUACGUG